rnacentral:rRNA from 1 species
GAUGAACGCUGGUGGCGUGCCUAACACAUGCAAGUCGAACGGAACUUUUAUGGAUUGAGACUUCGGUCGAUUGAAGUUUAAGUUUAGUGGCGGACGGGUGAGUAACGCGUGAGUAACCUGCCUUUCACAGGGGGAUAACGUUUGGAAACGAACGCUAAUACCGCAUAACAUGUACUAACCGCAUGAUUGGUACAUCAAAGAUUUAUUGCUCAAGGAUGGGCUCGCGUCCGAUUAGGUAGUUGGUGAGGUAACGGCUCACCAAGCCGACGAUCGGUAGCCGGACUGAGAGGUUGAACGGCCACAUUGGGACUGAGAUACGGCCCAGACUCCUACGGGAGGCAGCAGUCGGGAAUAUUGCGCAAUGGAGGAAACUCUGACGCAGUGACGCCGCGUGCAGGAAGAAGGUUUUCGGAUUGUAAACCUCUGUCCUAGGUGAAGAAGAAGUGACGGUAGCCUGGGAGGAAGCUCCGGCUAACUACGUG